AGCUUGCUCCCUGAUGUUAGCGGCGGACGGGUGAGUAACACGUGGGUAACCUGCCUGUAAGACUGGGAUAACUCCGGGAAACCGGGGCUAAUACCGGAUGGUUGUUUGAACCGCAUGGUUCAAACAUAAAAGGUGGCUUCGGCUACCACUUACAGAUGGACCCGCGGCGCAUUAGCUAGUUGGUGAGGUAACGGCUCACCAAGGCGACGAUGCGUAGCCGACCUGAGAGGGUGAUCGGCCACACUGGGACUGAGACACGGCCCAGACUCCUACGGGAGGCAGCAGUAGGGAAUCUUCCGCAAUGGACGAAAGUCUGACGGAGCAACGCCGCGUGAGUGAUGAAGGUUUUCGGAUCGUAAAGCUCUGUUGUUAGGGAAGAACAAGUACCGUUCGAAUAGGGCGGUACCUUGACGGUACCUAACCAGAAAGCCACGGCUAACUACGUGCCAGCAGCCGCGGUAAUACGUAGGUGGCAAGCGUUGUCCGGAAUUAUUGGGCGUAAAGGGCUCGCAGGCGGUUUCUUAAGUCUGAUGUGAAAGCCCCCGGCUCAACCGGGGAGGGUCAUUGGAAACUGGGGAACUUGAGUGCAGAAGAGGAGAGUGGAAUUCCACGUGUAGCGGUGAAAUGCGUAGAGAUGUGGAGGAACACCAGUGGCGAAGGCGACUCUCUGGUCUGUAACUGACGCUGAGGAGCGAAAGCGUGGGAGCGAACAGGAUUAGAUACCCUGGUAGUCCACGCCGCG
rnacentral:rRNA from 1 species